rnacentral:rRNA from 1 species
UGGUAUUCAUUAUUCCGAACUUAAAAAACUAAAGUAGUAAACAGUUAUGUUCUCGAAACUUAAAGGAUUUGGCGGUGUUUUAGUCAGGUUAGAGGAACCUGCCCUGUAAUCGAUAUACCACGAAGUAUCUUACUUCAUCUAGUAAAAGAACAGCUUGUAUACCACCAUUAGCAGAUAUCCUUAAUAAGGUAAUAUCUUAAUAGGUAGAAUUCCUAGUAAAUUAGGUCAAGGUGCGGUCAAUGAUGGAGUUUGAGGUGGGUUACAAUUUCUCUGAAAAUAACGGAUUACGGUUUGAAAAAACUUUAUGAAGGUGGAUUUGAUUGUAAUGUUUGUUUAAUAUGCAAACAUGAUAUUUGCUCUAAAACAUGUA